GGGGCGGGGAACCGCCGGACAGUUCAUGAAGUUGGGGCUCUUGUAAAAGCCCAUUCCCCAAGCUUGGUCUUUCUCGCUGAAACGAGACAGACAAGUGUUAAAGUUGAAAGAAUGAAGUGGAAAUUAGGUCUCAAAGGAUUCUGCGGGGUGGAUUGUGAGGGCCGAGGCGGUGGACUAGCGCUGUUUUGGGAUGAAUCCCUCCGGGUGACAGUGCUGGAUUCCUGUAGAAGAUACAUUGAUGUGAGUGUUCUGGAUCAAGGAUCCGGGAAAACUUGGAGGUCCACCUUUGUCUAUGGGGAACCACGUGUGGAACAUCGGCAGCGCAUGUGGGAUCACCUAGUCAGAUUAAAAGGGGUCUCAGACCUACCUUGGGUUGUUUGUGGUGAUUUUAAUGAAGCUCUUUGGCAACAUGAACACUUCUCGAGAACCAGUAGAGGAGAGAGCCGGAUGGAGGCGUUUAGAGAUACUCUCUUUGUGUGCGAAUUGAUUGACUUGGGGUUCUCAGGUGCUCCAUAUACAUAUGAUAACGGCCAGCUUGGAUAGGGCAACGUUCGAGUUCGGUUAGAUCGAGCAUGUGCGUCUGAUGAUUGGAGGGAGUUGUUUCCGUUUUCGAGGGUGCAGCACCUGGUUUCCCCUCGGUCGGACCAUUGUCCCAUUAUACUUUGCCUCGACGAUACUGAAGAUCGCCGUCGGAAGGGGUCGCCUAAAUAUGAGAUCAUGUGGGAACAUGACAAAAAACUGCCAGAGAUAAUUUCAAAGGUGUGGGAUCGGUCUCGGCCUGUGGGCGACUUGGGGAACGUAGCUACAUCCCUGAAGUCUGUUAUGGCUGAUCGUCGCAAGUGGAGUAAAGGAAAUUUUGGCCAAGUAGUGAAACAAAUUGAGGAUCUUCAGAAGGAACUGGAAAACUUACAGCUAAACAACUCGGACCGUCUCUUGAUCAAACAAAAGAUGGAAAAGUUGGAUAAGCUACUCUACCGUGAGGAGAUGGUGUGGCUGCAAAGGAGUCGCAUUGUUUGGUUGAAGGAGCCACAAUACAAACUAUUUUCACCGGCAGGCAGUUUGGCGUGCUAG
rnacentral:rRNA from 1 species